rnacentral:rRNA from 1 species
UCGAGCGAACAGACGAGGAGCUUGCUCCUCUGACGUUAGCGGCGGACGGGUGAGUAACACGUGGAUAACCUACCUAUAAGACUGGGAUAACUUCGGGAAACCGGAGCUAAUACCGGAUAAUAUAUUGAACCGCAUGGUUCAAUAGUGAAAGACGGUUUUGCUGUCACUUAUAGAUGGAUCCGCGCCGCAUUAGCUAGUUGGUAAGGUAACGGCUUACCAAGGCAACGAUGCGUAGCCGACCUGAGAGGGUGAUCGGCCACACUGGAACUGAGACACGGUCCAGACUCCUACGGGAGGCAGCAGUAGGGAAUCUUCCGCAAUGGGCGAAAGCUUGACGGAGCAACGCCGCGUGAGUGAUGAAGGUCUUCGGAUCGUAAAACUCUGUUAUUAGGGAAGAACAAAUGUGUAAGUAACUAUGCACGUCUUGACGGUACCUAAUCAGAAAGCCACGGCUAACUACGUGCCAGCAGCCGCGGUAAUACGUAGGUGGCAAGCGUUAUCCGGAAUUAUUGGGCGUAAAGCGCGCGUAGGCGGUUUUUUAAGUCUGAUGUGAAAGCCCACGGCUCAACCGUGGAGGGUCAUUGGAAACUGGAAAACUUGAGUGCAGAAGAGGAAAGUGGAAUUCCAUGUGUAGCGGUGAAAUGCGCAGAGAUAUGGAGGAACACCAGUGGCGAA